rnacentral:rRNA from 1 species
GACAGAGGGUGCAAACGUUGCUCGGAAUUACUGGGCGUAAAGCGCGUGUAGGCGGGAAGAUAAGUCGGGUGUGAAAUCCCUGGGCUCAACCUAGGAACUGCAUUCGAAACUGUCUUUCUGGAGUGAUGGAGAGGAAAGCGGAAUUCCCAGUGUAGCGGUGAAAUGCGUAGAGAUUGGGAAGAACACCGGUGGCGAAAGCGCUCUACUGGGCCUGCACUGACACUCAUGGACGAAAGCUAGGGGAGCGAAAGGG